GGCCGCCUGGCGAAAUGGCAUCGCGUCUGACUACGAUGUGAUGUCUAAUCAGGAGAUUGCAGGUUCGAGCCCUGCGGUGGUCA